UACGGAGGGUGCAAGCGUUGUCCGGAAUCACUGGGUGUAAAGGGUGUGUAGGCGGGACUGUAAGUCAGAGGUGAAAGCCCACGGCUCAACCGUGGAAUUGCCUUUGAUACUGCAGUUCUUGAAUCCUGGAGAGGUCACUAGAAUUCGUGGUGUAGCGGUGAAAUGCGUAGAUAUCACGAGGAAUACCAGAGGCGUAGGCGGGUGACUGGACAGGUAUUGACGCUGAUGGGCGAAAGCGUAGGUAGCGAACCGG
rnacentral:misc_RNA from 1 species